UUUCAUGACAAAUAUGCGGUCAUUUGAUGCUUUUUCCUAAGAUUUUAAUAAAAAUUUUAAUACGAACCUUAGUCACAUCACAGGGAACAUAGGAGAAGAGUUUUUACAGUGGACAUGAAAGGAGUCUGAACAUUAUAAAUGGCUACACAGAGAUGAAUCAGGAUGAUGAAGUUCAUCAUCAACAUCACCUCCACAGUCAGUGUCCUCAUUACAUAGAUAGGUAAAAAUAGUGUCAGAGAAUUGGGGCAUUUUUAGCAAAAGCCAGGAUAUAACUUACCAGAGAUGAGAACAGUAUGUGUAGGAGAGGGUGAUGAAGAGAAGGCUCUUCUCUGGGUGCAAGGGAAGA
rnacentral:lncRNA from 1 species